UUACAGCAAACGGAGCAGGCAGUCUGAACAGCAAAGAUCAGAUAUCAAAUUAAGGAAUUUAGCAUUGUCUGUAUGGGAAGAUUCAAGCCUCUGGGCUCACUGAAUUCAUUGCUUUCAUAUGUACCUCAGCUAUCUGGGCCAAAUCCUGUUUCCUUGUUCACCUUAAGCAGUGGCAGCUGUGGCAGAUGGCUGCCCCUUGAGUUCCCCCAGCUCCUCAGCAAUCACCAUGGCGGGUGGAUCACCAUGGCGGGUGGCGGCAUCUGCUGGAUUGAGCUUUGGGAGCCCGCAUUCACAUUCGGAGGCCAGAAAUUGCUGAUGGCUGUGGCAUUUCUUGUUUAUUGAUUUGGCAGUAGAGCUUUUCAUUUCACAAUACCUAUUGAUUAGCAACACCCUGUUUUAGUCCAUGCCCUCGCUCCUUCAGUUCCUGGCAACUACUAUUCUAUUCUUUAUUCCAUGAACUUGACUGUUUUCGAUACCUCAUAGAAGGGGAUUCAUGUGGUACUUGUCCGUCUGUUUCUGGCUUAUUUCUCUUGGCAUAAUGUCUUCCAGAUUCCUUGAGACUCAGGAAGGAUGUCUGACCAGCAUCCGCAUCCGCAUCCACAUCAGCAUCAGCAUCACCAUCACCAUCACCAUCACCAUCAGCACAAGGAGCCCUGCCAUCCACCUCCAAUAGUGUGCCCACCCAAGUGCCAUGAGCCUUGCCCACCUCAUCCAUGCCCAUCUCCACCGAGCCAGAAGAAAUGCCCUCCUGGGCCACCAUGCCCACCAUGGGAGCAGAAGUGUCCACCCAAGUGGAAGUAACAGCAUCAGAUUUCAUCUGCACCAAGAAACAAGAUCCAGGCUCUUCCAAUGUCCUCCCUUCGACCAUGGUGACGGAUUCCAUCUUCCUUAAUCUCCCUCCUCAACCAACAGCUGACAGAGGAAAGGCUUGCUUCCUGAAGCUGACACCAUGUUGUUGGAAGAAGAGCAGCAGAAUCAUUGCUUGAUCUCUCUUUGCCAUGUGCCCAUCUGUAAUCUGUGUUGUGAUAUCUAACCCGUGAGCAAUUAGUGUGUCUAUUCUUUUGCUUCUCCAAUAAAGCAUAUUCAUUGCCCAUUA